UGCAUAUUGUAAAAGUUUUAAAAGAAACCAAUGGUUUCUGAGCAAUCAAUAGAAAAUUAGCAGAUUUAAGAGUUUGUCCCAAUUCACAAUUUAUGUCCUUACUUAAAUGUAAUUUUUUUUUUUCAUUCUAUUUUUCAUGUCCCAACUUCAUAACACAUCUAAAUGGAAUGGUAUAAACCCUUGCUUGUAUUGUUGUUUUCUUGCAUAUAUCAAUUGUUGCAUAUAAUUUAAUUGUCACACGACACACUCAUUCUCAUACAGCGAAUUAAAUAUCCAAUUUGUUCUUGCUUAAACUGUACAACUUUGAUAUUGAAGAUCCUGCUUUCUUCCACAUUUAUUUUCAUUUUGUGAAAAGCAACUGUGAUUCCACCUGAAUUUGGUACACUCAUGACACCAGCAUGUGUGGUGGGAAAAAAUAAUUUUUUAUAGUAUUUCUAUAAAAUGUUGUAAUAUCCAUUAUCUGUGUAUCCACAUAUCUAAACUACAGGUUGCUUGUGUAACAGUAUGAGUAAUUGUUUUAACCCCUUAAGGACCAAACGUAUGGAAUAAAAGGGAAUCAUGACAUGUCACACAUGUCAUGUGUCCUUAAGGGGUUAAAGAGACUUGACUUCAAAGUUAAGGACUGUUUAACAUCACCAGAACCAAAAUCAGGGUUGUGAUGCCUAAAUAAAAAACAGACACAAAGGGACAUUUAAAGGGUCAUUAAUUAUACAAUUAAGGUAAUACUGAGGGAGAUUUAUUAAAGUGCUCUGUUCUCAAAAGUGGUGCAAAAAUGUAGAAGGGCAGGAGUAACCAAUGGAAUGUGUCUGGUGGUUCAACUGGUUUCUAUGGUGAUUGCCACCUUGACAAAUUUCACCCAUAGUACAUCAAGUACAUCAAAAUACGUUCACCUGUUAUGUCGGUGUCAAUUAAUUUU